AGGUAUUCAAGUUUAAUUCAAACUAUAAUUUUUAUUAUUCGUAUAUUCAUGAGCAAAAGCAAAUUUCAGCGAAUAAAUUGAAUAUAAUUGCUUGGUAUUGGAAAGGAAACACACCUGCUAGUUACACCAUGAAAUUGACUGAAGGUGAAAAAAUUCUGCUUGCGGCCUCAGAUGCACUACUGGGAAUUUCUCUGCUUGUUUUGUUCUUCUUUGAGCUUUUUCGAAGUCUGGGAAUAUUAAUCGCCAGUCAAUUUUUUUUACUGGUUGGGUCAAUUACAUUCACCGUAUUUGACUGUAAAGUUAACAUUAGAAAAAAUACUCCUGAUGAACACGCGAAAGAUCAUACAAAGCGACGCAGUAGCAAAUGGGAACGCGGAUUAAAUUUUGUAAAAUUGAUGGGACUGAUUUUACCAGCUUCAGUACCUUGGACUUUUCCAGAGCUAGUGUCAGACAAGCUAGCGUAUUGUUCGCUUUAUGUAUCAGUAGUGACUUUUAUUCUGACAUGGAAAAUUAGCUUCAGACUCACAAAAUUGUUAGGCAAUAACGCCGAAUGGAGGUUCUCAGAGAUAGCAUUUCCUCGUCAAAAUUCAAUGCAUAUAACACUUCACUAUGCGUUAUUAAUAUUCUCUUUCGGAAUUUUACUAUUAUUUUUUACUUUCAUCAUUUGUAAUAUUUCCAAUCCCGAUACUUUUGAUUUAGUAAUAUAUUGGCAAACUUUCUCGCUUGCUUGGUUAGGUGAUAUUGUAUGUAUGAUUAUUAUGGCUACUCUUAGUCUAAUCAGAUUUAUUCUUAUAUACCGAAAAAGCAUACAAGAGGUCGAGGAGGUCGUAGAAACAGAACAAAGGAAAAUGUCACUUCUCAAACUUUAACCCACAACAUUGAUACUAAAAGCUUCCCCGAUGAUAUACAUUCCGGUCCAGAUGUGUCAUACCAACAAGGAAAUCUCGCUAUAUCCAAAAUGACAAAACCUGAUACUUUCGCUCUGAGAAGGGUUUCCUUGAGUGUCAUUGAAUCGCAGGCUCGCACCAACCGAACCCGUACAUCCAUUCCAAAUUACACAGAAUCGCAGGACAUAGGUGGUUUGUAAUUAAAUAACCAACAGACACUUCCACAAUCAAAGGACGACUCGAUCUCGCUUUUUUCAACACCAUGUUCCCACCUCCACAUUCCCUAUUCGUAUUCAUCCAGUGUCCCCAAUCUUUGGUCUGUCUGCAACCGAUUUAGCACAUCAAUACCCAAUGACAGUUUGUCUGUAUCAUUGGUAUUGAGUCAUUUGCCAUUUAAUAGUCAACAGGCAUCUCUCACAAUCUCGAAUUUUUCAACCGCAUCACUCCGCGCUGACCUCAUGUCAUUAAACCACAGUUUACCGAAUUCAUGUGCAAAUUCUCGAUCUCCAACAACCGAUGACAGCGAAGCACGUUCAGGCUCCAACAUUUUGUCAAAUCAUGAUAUUGGUGAGGUCGUUGCUUGGUCCACCAGAUGGCAUCCGAGCAGUAUUUUGGUUCCAAGCGAGGGGUUAAACAAUACAGAUAUACAAACCAUGAGUGCUAUGUUUCAUCAACCAGAUUCCUCAUAUUCCUCUAGUGACCCGGAACUUUGGUCUGUAUCAGACCUUAUUAGCUCAUCGAUACCAGGUCCGAUUUCGUCUCAGUCACUGAAUGCCAAUUUGUGUAGUUUGCCAAUGAACAAUCAACAGUUCAAGCGAAACAAUCUCGAAUUUUUCAACGCCAUCCGUGCGCUCUGAAAAUAUGUCAUCAAACAAUAGUUUACCGAGUUCAGAUGCGAAUUCUCAAUCUCGGACAACCGAUGACAGCGGAGCAAGUUCAGGCUCCAACAUUUCUUCAAAUCCUGAUAGCGUUCAGGUCGAUGCUUGGUCGGGUACUAUGUCGUCAUCAGAUCAUGGCGGUGGUAGUUCAGCAGGUUAUUCAUCACUUACCGAUGCAGAUGCUAACCAAUAGUUCAUUCAUUAUGAAUAUUUUGUGUUUAUUGUUUGAUUUCCUUGUUUCAUAGAAUGUCAUUUUGCCAAAUUUGCAUUAUUCUAUUUUCCUCCCAUUUUUGGGUUUUCAGUGACUUUCAGUCGCAUAUUUUUAAUGUUUGACGCUUUAAGAAAACAUCAUGCAUUUUAUUUAUGUUCUUGACUAUCAUAUCUAAUCAUUUUGUUGUCUUGUAAUUUUUAUUGGUUUCGGUUGAAUCGCGAUUAAUUGUACAUAUUCUGUAGAGAUCAUUUCUUUUGUAUAAAGCCCCCGCCACUUAUGCAAAAAUGUGAGAUUUGAAAAACACACCCCCGCCACGUUUUUCAAAAAUAAAUAUCCAGUUGUGGUUAGUAAUUAUUCAAAUUCACAACGCAAUCUACAUUGCUAACCCUAAAAUAAUUACAAAAUUUCAUAUUUCGAGCAUCGGAGGAGGGCUUAGUACAAAAGAUUUCAACUAUUUUAUAAAACUGAAUUUUACAUGUUUCUUUAUGGUUUGUGUUUUGUACUGCAUUUUCUGUAAAGUAUAGGACAACCUCACAUAAUUGGCUGUUUUCCAGGAACCAAACCCUUUCAAUACCUAUACAGAAGAGGCCACUCAGAUAUCCAAUUUUGCGUCAUACCCAAUCCUAAUCAUAACUAGCAAUUUAUAUGGCAGCGCAACGGCGAUUCAGAUUCCAAAUGGCGAUUAUGAUCAUAUACCCAUUUCUAUUCAUAACCCGCUAUUUAUAUCACAUCCCAAUAACACUUUACUGAUGA